rnacentral:tRNA from 1 species
AUGUGGCUUAGUGGUAGAGUGCUUGCCUGACACGCAUGAAGCCCUGGGUUUGAGUCCUCAGUAU